rnacentral:rRNA from 1 species
GUGGCGGACUGGUGAGUAACGCGUGAGGAACCUGCCUUCCAGAGGGGGACAACAGUUGGAAACGACUGCUAAUACCGCAUGAUGCAUCGAAGUCGCAUGGCUUUGGUGUCAAAGAUUUAUCGCUGGAAGAUGGCCUCGCGUCUGAUUAGCUAGUUGGUGAGGUAACGGCCCACCAAGGCGACGAUCAGUAGCCGGACUGAGAGGUUGGCCGGCCACAUUGGGACUGAGAUACGGCCCAGACUCCUACGGGAGGCAGCAGUGGGGAAUAUUGGGCAAUGGACGCAAGUCUGACCCAGCAACGCCGCGUGAAGGAAGAAGGCUUUCGGGUUGUAAACUUCUUUUAAGGGGGAAGAGUAGAAGACGGUACCCCUUGAAUAAGCCACGGCUAACUACGUGCCAGCAGCCGCGGUAAUACGUAGGUGGCAAGCGUUGUCCGGAUUUACUGGGUGUAAAGGGCGUGCAGCCGGAGAGACAAGUCAGAUGUGAAAUCCGGGGGCUCAACCCCCGAACUGCAUUUGAAACUGUUGGUCUUGAGUAUCGGAGAGGCAGGCGGAAUUCCUAGU